GUGAGUUAGCGAGCAAGUUACUUCAUAUUACGAAGAGGAAACUCCUCCCUCAUUACGGGUACCUGAAUUAGCGAUAAUUAGAAGGAGACUUCUGGCAACGAAAUAGAAAAGUAUUUGGCUGAGAUCUUUGACUAUGAUGAUUUGUAAUCUGAGUGAUCUCAGGUUAAAUUGAAACUGUCGACCCAGGUAGAGAAAGGCCAAACAGAGUUACAUUCCCGUAAUUAAACUCAGGUAGGCUGCUUAGCUGAAUCUUGCCUAAAACAAAAGGAGGGUUACUACUAAUACAC
rnacentral:RNase_P_RNA from 1 species